ensembl:lncRNA
AGGUACCAUCAUGUCUUAAAUUGAGUAAGGCACUGAGAGAUCUACAUGGCUUGGCAGCUGUUCCUUCUGUCUCCCCAACUCAACCCACCUUACUGAGUUGCUCCUGUUUCUACUUCUGUCAGUGAAUGAGGGAUCAGUACUUUGCCCCCAUAGUUUCUUCAGGAGUACCUUGUCCUAAAACAAAACCAAAUCUGGAAGGAGUAGAAUUUUCUGCUGGGACUUGGUAACAUUUCAUGGACAAGGAGGAUGUGACUCAUGCUGCUCAUGACUGCUGGAACCUAUAACCUCCUUUUCUCUUGGACUGAUACAAUGAUCUUCACUUUGAAAGAAGAAACAGAGACAUUUUUAACAGCAGAGAGACUUCACAAGUACUGGGAUGUUGAAAACCCAUCUCUGGCCCACCAGUGAAAAUAAUGACUCCUGCUAUUUUGGGUUCUGUGGAGCUAAGAUGAAGUAUCAAAAAAAGAUUCCGAUGUUUUCUGAUACCAUCGUGCUCCUUGGCAUAGGAGGGAUGAAUGGAACAGAAGCUCAUAUGUGGAAGAUGACUGAUUUUUGUAGCAUUGCAGGCAGGAGCUGCCAGCAGGGAAGCUAAUACAUGAGGGGCUGAGGAGUGAGUGCUUGAGGAGGAAACCAUCUAGAUCUCUUAGACAGCUCAUUGCAUAAGCCAUAAGUACUUUUCUUCUGGACUCUGGACCUGAUGGUUUGCAGUCACAGUGUUGGAUGGACAGUUACUUGCUGCAGGAUCUUCCAGGAUUAAAAUCACAUCUUACAAGGCUAAGAACUCCAAAGGCUAUGGCGAGGAACUGGUAGCUUUAUCUCAAUGUAGACUGCGAUGGCUUUGUGUGCCUUUGAAAUUGCCACGCUCUUCAAAGAAAAAGGAAGUGCUUUAAGUGUUUUUCCUUCUCCUUCAGCCAGGAGCCGCGUUUUGGAAUGAACUCAAGUUUGAGUAAAGGGAGUGUUCAAAAUUUUAAAAUGUUGUGAUAAAUACUGCAUGACAUCGGUGUAAAACAGGUGCCCGCUGUACACAGGACUGUGCUUUGCUUUGUGUCAGAUCUCUUGAACAUCAGAAGUUUCAGAUCGUUCUGGAAUCGGUUUUAUAAAUGAGGGCUGGACGACUCAAAAGUGCAAAGCAUAAUGGCAAUAGAAAACUGCAUCUCAGGAGCUGAACUUACGUCUUUUUUCUUUCUCACCCCCUCAUUUUUAUCUACAUUUAUCAUUAUUACCUGCAUAGAGCAAUAACGUUUUGAAGAAAUGCCUGAUUUUUGAUGCCUCAGUUAUUUGAUGUCUUUUUUCAAGACAUUUUACAUUUCAGAGAGUGAGUCAGACACUUUAAACAUCCAGACUGGCUGCUUAUACCUUUUCUGAGCUGUAUUUUUUGUCUCUGGAUACAAAGUAAAUUCCUUUAAUGGAUUUAUUAUCAAGAAGAUUCAAAAAAGCAUUAGCUUCACUCUUCUACUCUCUUGACUGCAGUUUAGCAUCUCACUCUGUGGAGGGUUUGAAAGGCAUGGAAAAUAUAAAAGGACUCUGUGCCACAAUUAGGAAACGUGGAUUUCUCCCUCGCAGAAACUUCUGCUGUGGACUCUUCUCCAUCUUGUGUCUGAUGCAAAGGCUUAUGCCUGCCCUGUGAGCUACUGCUGGAGGAUUAAGGGAGGACUGAGAUCCCCCAUUGACACCUUUAGAGCUUGAGACCAGUGAACUCUUCCUGUCUUUCAUAAACUAUGCUCUGUGUGACUUCUGAAGGUGCUCUGGAUACAAAUUGAAACUGAGCUAAUUUGGAUUACCAUUACUGCAGCGUCUAUUAGACAGCAGGCGACACAGUCUCUGCUAUUCAAAGGCGAAGUGCUACGCCUCAGUGUCUCCCCUCAAAUCACCUCUGUAGACCAAAGCUACACAUCUGUCCUUCUGCCAAGUCUACGAAGCUCAUAGUUUCAGAAAACCGAUGCGCUCCCAUCCACUGAAAGGAAAACUAAAAAAUUGGGAAGGAAAAAAGCAAAAAAAGUCUAUUUUACAAUAAUCGGUGAAGUCGAUCUGAGGGAAGAAAAAAAGAACUUUACUGCUUACAAAGGAAUUUCCCAGUGUGCUGAGUUAAAUGCAUUGCUAUUUUAAAGCAUUUUAGAUAAUGUAUAUCUUUGUGACACUACAGCGGCAGCUCAGUGAAAGAGCCUCUCAGCUAACCUUGGUAAGUACCUACUGCAUUCUGGUACCCCACUUCCAGUGCAGUUGAACCAAAUAUUCCCUUUAGAACAAAUUAGAGCACAAAACAUGUCAAGCCUUCCUCUAAAAGCCUUGGAAACUUAAACAGAAAGCCUGUUAUAUCUGUGGGCUGAAUUGCCAACAAAGAUGCUCUGUGCUUUUUGGUUUGCAGAGACGAAACAUUCAGAGUACUAUUAGGUCCUUUCCUAAUGCAUCGUAACAAGGAACUGAUCACUGCCACUCUUGUACAGCACCAGUUGUGAUAAAUACACAGAACUAAUUGCAAUGAAUAUGGAAUUCUGUAGGAAUCCC